rnacentral:rRNA from 1 species
GGCUCAGAUUGAACGCUGGCGGCAUGCUUUACACAUGCAAGUCGAACGGUAACAGGGAGCUUGCUCCGCUGACGAGUGGCGAACGGGUGAGUAAUGCAUCGGAACGUACCCAGUCGUGGGGGAUAACGUAGCGAAAGUUACGCUAAUACCGCAUACGUCCUGAGGGAGAAAGCGGGGGGACCGUAAGGCCUCGCGCGAUUGGAGCGGCCGAUGUCGGAUUAGCUAGUUGGUAGGGUAAAGGCCUACCAAGGCGACGAUCCGUAGCGGGUCUGAGAGGAUGAUCCGCCACACUGGGACUGAGACACGGCCCAGACUCCUACGGGAGGCAGCAGUGGGGAAUUUUGGACAAUGGGCGAAAGCCUGAUCCAGCCAUGCCGCGUGAGUGAAGAAGGCCUUCGGGUUGUAAAGCUCUUUCAGGUGGAAAGAAAACGCAUAGGUUAAUACCUUGUGCGGAUGACGGUACCAUCAGAAGAAGCACCGGCUAACUACGUG